rnacentral:rRNA from 1 species
UACGUAGGGUGCGAGCGUUGUCCGGAAUUACUGGGCGUAAAGAGCUCGUAGGUGGUUUGUCGCGUUGUCCGUGAAAACUCACAACUCAAUUGUGGGCGUGCGGGCGAUACGGGCAGACUGGAGUACUGCAGGGGAGACUGGAAUUCCUGGUGUAGCGGUGAAAUGCGUAGAUAUCGAGAGGAACACCUGCGGCGAAGGCGGGUUGCUGGGCUGACACUGACGCUGAUUGUGCGAAAGCUAGGGGAGCGAACGGG